rnacentral:rRNA from 1 species
GAUGAACGCUAGCUACAGGCUUAACACAUGCAAGUCGAGGGGCAGCACUAGGUAGCAAUACUGAGGUGGCGACCGGCGCACGGGUGCGUAACGCGUAUCCAACCUUCCCGAUACUCUUGGAUAGCCUUCCGAAAGGGAGAUUAAUACAAGAUGGUGUUUCAGUUUCGCAUGUUAUUGAAACUAAAGAUUUAUCGGUAUCGGAUGGGGAUGCGUGACAUUAGAUAGUAGGCGGGGUAACGGCCCACCUAGUCUACGAUGUCUAGGGGUUCUGAGAGGAAGGUCCCCCACACUGGAACUGAGACACGGUCCAGACUCCUACGGGAGGCAGCAGUGAGGAAUAUUGGUCAAUGGGCGAGAGCCUGAACCAGCCAAGUCGCGUGAAGGAUGAAGGAUCUAUGGUUUGUAAACUUCUUUUAUACGGGAAUAAAGUGUGGUACGUGUACCAUUUUGUAUGUACCGUAUGAAUAAGCAUCGGCUAACUCCGUG